AUGUCUGUAAACAAUUGUUAGAGAAAUUACUUGUGUCAUGCACAAAGUAGAUGUCCUAACCGAGUUGCCAAAACUAUAGUUUGUUAACAAGACAUUUGUGGAGUGGUUGAAAAACUAGUUUUAAUGACUCCAACCUAAGUGUAUGUAAACUUCUGACUUCAACUGUAUCCCUGGGAACUAAAAACAGUGAGCUGGGGGAGUUGAGCCUGGGGGACUGGUGUCUUGGUCCUGGGGGCCUCUCCUCUCAACCUGAGCGAGGAGACUGAGGCGCUGAGAGAGGCUUACAGGGGCAUGGGGGCGACGUGGACUCACUCCGGGACCACAGGGACCAGCUGGAGAGCACGCUCCGACACACACAGGACCAGCUGCACAGGGUGACCGAGGAGAACGCCCAACUGAAAUGUAAACUCAGGGAGAAACGGGGGCCUGCGAGGCAGAGCAGGGGUGCUAGCUAGGAGGGAAAAGCAUGACAGGAAAUGCCCAGGAAAACAGGGUGCCAAUUCAUAACCUAAUACCCCAGGUUAGCAGAAAGCUUACCACAACUCCAACCCAGAAUAAUACUACCCUAUUCUUAGCCGACAAUGACCUAACCCUGUAUGCCUUUGCCCAGGAUGACCUAGCUCUAGCCUUUAACCAGGAGAGCCGGGCACAGGGCAGGCGUAUCAAGGAGCUCCUGCCUCACAUAGAGAGCCAGGGAUAGUAAGGAUAGUGAGAGGAAGCUAGAGAGGGAGAGCUCCAGGCUGGAGCAGGAGAACCAGGAGCAGGGAGGUCUUAUAACCGAGCUAACCAGGAAGACAGAGGAUGACCUCCACACUAUCAUGGAGCUGCAGCAGAGACUGACUGAGAGCGGUCAGCUAGGCCUACAACAGGGUGACCAUGGUUUGACCACUGAGUCCGAGUGUGGUCAAAAGUGUGACCAUGCGGUCGGGUCAGUGUUCGCUCAACAGGGUCAACCCCCGGUAGGGUUCGUGACCAGUCUACAAGGUGAUCACACGCCAGGGUCGGUGAAUAGUGGUGAACUGCAGGUUGACCACACGACCGAGUCAGUUAGGGAUCAAAAGGACGACCAUUUGGCCACAGAGUUCGUGUCCAGGCUUAGAGAGGAGAGGGACGAGCUAAUUGGGUCUCUCAGUGAUCUCAAAGAGGAAAGGGAACAGGUUUCCCUCUCACUCAGGUGUCAGACAGGGAAAGACCAGCUAACACACUCCGUGUGGGUUCUGAAAGAAGAACGCGUCCGGGUCAAUCAGGAACUCUGCCGUUUAAAAGAAGAGAAAGAACCGCUUACAAGGUCUGAAAGAUAAGAGACAAGGUGGUAUGGUCAAUGUGUGGUUUAAAAGAGGAGAGUGACCAGCUAGUUCAGUCAAGGUCUAGACUCCAGGAGGAGAGAUACCAGCUAGUGCAGUCAAUGUCUGGUUUCUACAAGGAGAGAGACCAGCUAGUUCUGUCAAUGUCUGGUUUCUACAAGGAGAGAGACCAGCUAGUUCCGUCAAUGUCUGGUUUCUUCAAGGAGAGAGACCAGCUAGUUCAGUCAAUGUCUGGUUUCUACAAGGAGAGAGACCAGCUAGUUCCGUCAAUGUCUGGUUUCUACAAGGAGAGAGACCAGCUAGUUCAGUCAAUGUCUGGUUUCUACAAGGAGAGAGACCAGCUAGUUCAGUCAAUAUCUGGUUUCUACAAGGAGAGAGACAAGCUCUCGCAGUCUCUCUUCAGUCAAGAAGAUGAGAGACCAACUAAACGACACUCCACAAUCUAGAAGAAGAGAGAGACCAGUUGAUGCAAUCAAUGUGUGGUUUAAAGGGACAGAGAGACUAGCUAACAGAGACACUCAGCCUUCUAGAGCAGGAGAGUGACAAACUGUCAUCUCUCUGCCUUCAAACAGAAGACAGAGACCCGGUCAACCAGUUUAAAGAAGAGCGAGAGCAGUUGGUUCAGUCAAUGGAUGUUCUGUGCGAACAGAGGGAGCAUCUCAGAGCAGAGAGAGACCAGUUGCAGAUGGACGUCGCUCCUUUACGGAAUCAGCUGCUGUCACAGGGGCGGAGUUACAACCAGCAGUACUCUGAGAACCACGUUGGCAUGGCAACACACACAGAGGGUGGGGUCGCUGCGCCAAAUACGGAGAGAGGGGGGUCGCUGCGCCAAAUACGGAUAAUGACGUCGUUCAGAGAAGUCUGGCCACGGUCUACUCCUACAAGACCAUCCGUCUGGGACAGUCUGCACAGGGACACUUGGAAGAGGUGACAGAGGUGGAGCAGAGUGAACUGAUGGAGGAGAUCAAGUCGUUGGGGGCAGAACACAGAAGGUCACGAGACGAACUGGAGAAGAACCAAUCAGAGGGAGGUGAAGAGCAGACUUGCGGGUCUGGAGAGAGAGAAGACUGAUGCCAACUUACUCUGGACUCCGAUAGAAGAGAACUUCAACUGGCUUCAGACUGAACUGAAAGUACAAUGUUCUUCUGAGAAAGAAGAGCCAGACGGAUCUGGACAUAGCUGCUCUAAAGGAUCUCCCUUCCAAGACCAGACACCAGGUUUACUCCAGUCCCCCUCCAGGUCAGGCAAACUCUGCAGGUUACCCCAACCCAAACCUUGCUGCCCUCAACCGACCCAAGCAUACCCCCAUAACAGCUACCCCUUUUACUACUACUACUACUACUACUACUACUACUACUACUGCCCCUGCUCGGACUGUUAAAGCACGAAGUACCACUACCUCGUUGAACACUGCCCCCACCCAAAACUUCCCCUCCAACAAUUACCCUUAAAACUACAGCCCCCACUAAAGCUGCCCCCUCCACCUCUGCUCUGCCCCCCACUGAGAGGCCAUAACUGCCUGAUGAGGACCAUUGUGUCAAGAAGCUCCUCUCCAACUGCCAACCUGAACAAGCUAAAUCAACUAAACCCCAGAGCUAAGCCGGAACCUCCAGCUGAGGUGGGCUCUGUUGAGGUCAUCAGGAUGGUGGGACAGAGCAGCCUCAUGAUUGGCUGGAUGAGCUGGGCUGCAGCAACGGAACCUUUGUGUAUGGAUACAGGAUCUAUGUAGAUGGGGAAUGUGUAUUUUUGAGAAGCUGUCCGGUUCACAUCAGUGUUCAGACCCUGGGCUCCAACGGUCUCUACACUGACAAGAUUCAUGUCAUCUACAGGGGGAAACCAUGCCCAGUUUAGGACAGACCACACCCCUUUCAUCAUAGACCACACCCAUGACACCACGGCUUCCGCUGCACUUUGCACAGACCACACCUCCCCAGACUGCAGGACUCCGCCCACACACCGACACAGUGGCUCCACCCAACCACUACAGUCCUCUGGGGGACAGCCCUAACCUCCACCCUAGCAGAGCUGGCCCUGAGAGAGGGAGAUACUGUCACGCUGCUAGGCAACCCCCGCAACGACGGCUUCUGUGAGGCCGAGGUGAAUGGCAGACGAGGUCUGGCUCCUGUUGCCUUCCUAGAGGAAAUUCUUGUUCCAGACAGACAUGUAACCGACCGAAGGAACAGAUUAUAGGUCACUGUGACUGCGAAUUAGAGAGAGGACAAGAUGACAGGCCACUGUGACUGCCAAUCAGAGAGAGGACAAGAUGAGGAGCCACUGUGACUGCAAAUCAAAUGAUGCUUCCCUACAGAGAGAUUAUAGUGGCCAACAUUAAUGACAUCAUCAAACUCUGCCUGCCCAUGACAAAAGCAUUCAUAAGUGCUCACAGCCUAAAGUCAUUUCUAAUGGAAAGCUACUCUAAAGCACUAGCCUAAAUGUGGGUGUGUUUGUGUGUAUGGCCCAGUUUGACAUUGUGCUUCUAUAAACCAAUGCUUUUAACCUACAUCCUGCUCAUUGAGAUCGUGUCAAAUCACCUCUGUUCUUCAAAAUCCCCCACUGUUCUGUGUCUAAUCUCUCGUGGACAGACGCACUUAGCAUAGCUGGUAUCCUAGCGUCUGUCAGCAGACUGUGGGAUGCGACGACUAACGAGGAACUUGGUUCCGGUGCACAGAUUUUUCGUCAUUUUGGACAAAUCACGAUUUCGCAUCUUUCUAUUUUCGGAAGAGGAGGGGACAUUUGGACCGUGGACUUGCCUGUAAAUUGCAACUGGAGAGGAGCUACCGGCCUGCGUCCCCUCCACGUUCUAGUAUUUUUUCGAACACAUCUGCCCCCAGAACUUAAUCAAGCAUCUGGCACAAUUACGUAAGGUUUUGGGUUUCCGAGAUUAUUCUGUAUGUGACAAGUGUCAAAAACAAAGGUGGGCCUGAAUGAUGUGACAACCUGUCUGUCUGACAAUCCGUCUGAAAGCCUCUCUAACAUGGUGGUGAUAUCAAGUGAUGUUUUACAUUAUGAUAAAGCAAAGUCGUUUUCACAAGGCCAUUUUACUUGAUCUUUAGGUAUUGAGCCAAAUAUGAAAAAAAAGCUCCAUUCCAAAGACUUUGAUAUUUCUGUUCCUCGUCGUUACGUUUACAGAAAAUGUUUUUGAUCAAAAUCAAAUCAUGAAGUAAAUUGUCUGAGAUCUUCUUCUACUGUAGAAUCGAUUCAAUCUAUGAAGUCAUGUCAUUCAGAUGGAUAGAAGUUUAUGGCUGAUAUAUUUUGUAGAGAUUAUUAAAUAACCUGAGGUAUGCAAA